CAUCUCUUCAAAGCAUCUGUAGCAGUUCAUAUGUGUAGUCGUAUCCUUUUGCUAAAUUGUUUAUCAGCAAAAACGAUGCAAGAGUAGAGUAUAAUAAUAAAUAUACGUUACUUUAAACAUUUAGUUAAACAGUGUUACUUCAGUUCGCAUAAGUUUUUGUUUGUUAUAACAAAAAGUUGCUAGUUCGGCGUAAUAUUAUAUAUUUGGAAAUGAAUAAAGACAUUCAACCUCCACCAUACAGCCCUCCACAUCAGGAACAGAUGAUGAACAUGCAGAAUUCCCAGAAUAUACCAACACCAAACCCAAAUAGCUUUCAAUAUGCUCCACUGCCAGCUAGUUCCCCAUCUGCACCACCAUCAACUGUUACUAACGUGGUAGUGACUAGCGGUAGAGCUCACUCAGGUUGUCCAGUGUGCGGGAACAGCCAUUUUACAGGGACUUACCCAUGCCACGCCUGGUUGUGUUGCCUGUUUUGCUCCUGGGCUGCCUGUCUUGGAUGCAUUUGGUGUCUCUGCAUGCGCCGCAAGAAGUGCACCAAAUGUGGAUUUCAAAUAAAUUAAAUGCUAUAUCUUGUUUAAGGCUAUUUAAAUUAGUAUAUUGAACUCAUAUGCAACAAUUUAACAUUGAAUUUUUGAUCUACAUUCAGUAGCAAGAACCAUUUAUAGUUUUAAGGCAAUUUAUAAAUAUUAAUGAGUUAUAUACAGCAAAAAAUGCCAUACUAGAAUAUUAAUUUUGAUUUUACAUAUUUAUAGUAAUAUAAAAUAUACGACACACUGUUGUACUAAAAUAUAGACAUCUAUUAUUUUAAUAUACCAUUGAAAAAUUAGUUGUAUGUGAAAUGUAUGUCACUUAGUUCUUAAGUUUUUUCUUGGUAAUUUUCUUAAUAUAUGAAUUUUGUCCUA